rnacentral:rRNA from 1 species
UGGGCACUCUAAGGAGACUGCCGGUGACAAACCGGAGGAAGGUGGGGAUGACGUCAAGUCAUCAUGGCCCUUAUGUCCAGGGCUACACACGUGCUACAAUGGCCGGUACAAAGGGCAGCGAUACCGCAAGGUGGAGCAAAUCCCAAAAAGACCGGUCUCAGUUCGGAUUGGAGUCUGCAACUCGACUCCAUGAAGUUGGAAUCGCUAGUAAUCGCGUAUCAGCAUGACGCGGUGAAUACGUUCCCGGGCCUU